GGUGACUAUAGCAUCAGGGUUCCCCCUCUUCCCAUUCCGAACAGAGAAGUUAAGCCUGAUCACGCCGAUGGUACUGCGUAACAGUGGGAGAGUAGGUAGUCGCCGUUU
rnacentral:rRNA from 3 species